rnacentral:rRNA from 1 species
AUGGGGAAGCCGGCGGAAUACGGGGACGAGGAUGACGAGGAGCUGUCCAGCUCCGGCGACGCAGAGGGCGAGGAGGAGCAGCAGGAGGAGGAGGGAUCGGAUGACGGCGAGGAGGAUGAGGAGGAUGAGGAGGAAGAGCAGGAGCCCGAGGGGGAGCAGGCGGCGGGGGAUGGUGAGGAUGCGGAGGAAGAGGUCGACGAGGAGGAGAUCGUCGCCGCUACCACGGGCGCCGGCGCCGAUGACGACGACGACGACGGUGGAGACGGCGCCGGCGCGGCGGAGGAGGCCGAAUCUACCGAGGACGACGCCGCCGCGGAGGAGGGCGGCGAGGAAGAUGCCGACGAGUCUGAAGACGCCACUGCAAAGACAGAGAUUGGCAAGAGGGAACGAGCCAAGCUCAGGGAAAUGCAGAAGCUCAAGAAGCAGAAGAUCCAGGAAAUACUGGAUAGCCAAAACGCUUCCAUUGAUGCUGACAUGAACAAGAAGGGAAAGGGCCGACUGAAAUACCUCUUGCAGCAGACUGAAAUAUUUGCUCAUUUUGCGAAAGGAAGCCAAGCUGCGGAGAAAAAGAACCGUGGAAAGGGUCGUCAUGCAUCAAAGGUGACAGAGGAGGAGGAAGAUGAAGAAUACCUCAAGGAGGAAGAUGCCCUUGCUGCAGGAGGAACACGCUUGCUUAUACAACCAUCAUGCAUAAAUGGGAAAAUGAGAGAUUACCAACUAGCUGGACUUAAUUGGCUCAUACGCUUGUAUGAAAAUGGCAUCAAUGGGAUAUUGGCUGAUGAAAUGGGUCUCGGAAAAACUCUCCAAACUAUCUCCUUGCUUGGAUAUCUGCAUGAGUUCAGAGGAAUAACUGGUCCUCACAUGGUUGUUGCACCAAAGUCUACUCUUGGCAAUUGGAUGAAGGAAAUCCAACGUUUUUGCCCUGUUCUGCGUGCUGUCAAGUUCUUAGGAAACCCAGAAGAAAGGAAUCAUAUACGGGAAAAUUUGCUAGCUCCAGGGAAGUUUGAUGUCUGUGUUACUAGUUUUGAAAUGGCAAUAAAAGAAAAAACUGCAUUGAGGCGUUUUAGCUGGCGCUAUAUUAUUAUCGAUGAAGCUCAUCGGAUAAAAAAUGAGAACUCCCUUCUUUCUAAGACAAUGAGGCUUUUCAGCACCAAUUACCGUCUGCUCAUCACAGGCACCCCGCUGCAGAAUAAUCUUCAUGAACUUUGGUCUCUUCUCAACUUCUUGUUGCCAGAAAUAUUUAGCUCUGCAGAGACUUUUGAUGAAUGGUUCCAAAUCUCAGGGGAAAAUGAUCAACACGAGGUUGUUCAGCAGCUUCAUAAGGUUUUGCGUCCAUUUCUCCUUCGGAGGCUUAAAUCGGAUGUCGAGAAAGGUUUACCUCCAAAGAAGGAGACUAUACUUAAAGUUGGAAUGUCUGAGAUGCAAAAACAGUAUUAUCGUGCUCUACUUCAGAAGGAUCUGGAGGUUAUUAAUGCUGGUGGUGAGCGCAAGCGCCUUCUUAACAUAGCCAUGCAACUACGGAAGUGCUGCAAUCAUCCAUAUUUAUUCCAAGGUGCUGAGCCUGGCCCACCUUAUACAACUGGGGACCAUCUAAUUGAGAAUGCAGGAAAGAUGGUUCUGUUAGAUAAAUUACUUCCCAAGCUAAAGGCCCGUGACUCCAGAGUACUGAUAUUCUCUCAGAUGACCCGUCUUUUGGACAUUUUGGAAGAUUAUCUAAUGUACAGAGGGUAUCAGUAUUGCCGUAUUGAUGGGAAUACUGGUGGUGAUGAUCGUGAUGCUUCCAUUGAAGCUUUCAACAAGCCAGGGAGUGAAAAGUUUAUCUUCUUACUUUCAACUAGGGCAGGUGGUCUUGGGAUCAAUCUCGCUACUGCUGACAUUGUGGUUCUUUAUGAUAGUGAUUGGAACCCUCAAGUGGAUCUGCAAGCUCAAGACCGUGCACAUAGAAUUGGUCAAAAGAAAGAAGUUCAAGUCUUCCGUUUCUGCACCGAGUAUACUAUUGAGGAAAAAGUAAUUGAGAGAGCAUAUAAGAAGCUUGCCUUGGAUGCUUUGGUCAUACAGCAAGGGCGAUUGGCAGAACAGAAAGCCGUCAAUAAGGAUGAGCUGUUGCAAAUGGUGAGAUUUGGUGCUGAAAUGGUAUUCAGUUCCAAGGAUAGCACAAUAACAGAUGAAGAUAUUGACCGCAUUAUCGCUAGAGGAGAAGAGGCGACAGCACAACUUGAUGCAAAAAUGAAGAAGUUCACAGAAGAUGCCAUUAAAUUUAAAAUGGACGACACUGCUGAACUUUAUGAUUUUGACGACGACAAGGAGGAAGACAAGCCAGAUUUUAAAAAGCUAGUCAGCGAUAACUGGAUAGAACCCCCUAGACGAGAAAGAAAACGGAACUACUCUGAGUCUGAAUAUUUUAAGCAAGCACUUCGCCAAGGUGCCCCAGCAAAACCUAGGGAACCGAGAAUUCCCCGAAUGCCAAACUUGCAUGAUUUCCAGUUCUUCAACACGCAAAGGCUCAAUGAAUUGUAUGAAAAGGAAGUCAAAUACCUUGUGCAAACUAAUCAGAAAAAGGAUACAAUUGGUGAUGGUGAUGGUGAGGAUGAAGAAGUGGAACCUCUGAACGAAGAGGAGCAAGAAGAGAAGGAACAGCUACUGGAAGAGGGCUUUUCAACAUGGACGAGGAGGGACUUCAACACAUUCAUUCGAGCUUGUGAGAAAUAUGGUCGUGACGACAUAAAGAGUAUAGCCUCUGAAAUGGAGGGGAAAACAGAAGAGGAAGUUCAGCGGUAUGCUGAAGUUUUCAAGGAAAGAUACACAGAAUUGAAUGAUUAUGACAGAAUUAUUAAGAAUAUUGAGAAAGGAGAAUCAAAGAUAUCUCGGAAGGAUGAGAUUAUGAAAGCCAUUGCGAAAAAGAUGGACCGCUAUAAGAACCCGUGGCUGGAGUUGAAAAUUCAGUAUGGCCAGAACAAAGGGAAGCUGUACAACGAAGAAUGUGACCGUUUUCUGUUGUGCAUGGUGCACAAACUUGGCUAUGGAAACUGGGAAGAACUGAAGUCGGCCUUCCGCAUGUCUCCCUUGUUCCGUUUUGAUUGGUUUGUGAAGUCCAGAACCACGCAAGAGUUGGCUAGAAGGUGCGACACUCUCAUUCGUCUAGUGGAGAAGGAGAACCAAGAGUGUGAUGAGCGUGAUAGACAGGCCAGGAAAGAUAAGAAGAACAUGACACCAACCAAGCGUCCUUCGUCAAGUAGUCCAGCAAUGGACUCUCCCAUGCAGACGCCCUCCAAGAGGGGGCGGAGGGACGGCAGUGCACCCUCGGGAAAGAGAAGGCGGCGAUGA